GGGGCGUCCCGAUUGAACUAACCGACUGUCUUUCCAGAACGAAUUCCAGCUUCGAAAUCAAGAGAGACCAGUGUCGCGAACCAGUCGACGCUUAGGGUUUCGGAGCUCAUAGAUUCGCCAUUGGUUUCUGGAAGCUUCAGCAAUAUGGAGUCGGUCGGCUUCCACGACGGCAACAUCACCGAAAUGAUCGAGAAGCGUACUCUCGAUGUCCGCCAUGCCACUGGUCACCGCUUGCAAAUGCAGUCAUCGUUGAUAAGAAGGCUUUGCCAGGAAAGAAAACUAGAGGGGCAUCUUGGUUGUGUAAAUGCUGUUGCUUGGAACUCAAAAGGCACACUCCUGAUAUCUGGAUCUGAUGAUACACGAGUCAACAUAUAUAGCUAUUCAACUCGCCAGCUUUUGCACUCAAUUGAGAGUGGGCACUCUGCUAAUAUAUUCUGUACAAAAUUUGUUCCUGAAACUUCCGAUGAGUUUGUGGUAUCUGGUGCUGGUGACGCUGAAGUUCGGCUUUUUAAUCUGUCUCGUCUAAGGGGUAGAGGACCUGAUGAAUAUGAGAUUAGUCCAUCAGCAGUUUUUCAGUGUCAUAGUAGGAGAGUGAAAAAAUUAGCCGUGGAAGUUGGAAAUCCCAAUGUUGUAUGGAGUGCAAGUGAAGAUGGAACUCUGAGACAGCAUGAUUUUCGGGAGACUUCUUCUUGUCCUCCAGCUGGAUCACCUCAUCAGGAAUGUCGCAAUGUUUUAAUUGACUUGCGAUGUGGAGCCAAAGAUUCAUUAGCUGAUCCCCCCAAGAAGACACUGGCUCUAAAAUCUUGUGAUAUAAGCUCCACUAGGCCUCAUUUACUUCUUGUUGGUGGGAGUGAUGCAUUUGCACGUUUAUAUGAUAGACGAAUGCUGCCCCCACUCUCAUCCUGUUGGAAGAAGCUACCACCACCUCCUUGUGUAAACUAUUUCUGCCCAACGCAUCUUUCUGAUCGUAAUCAUUCUAGCUUGCACCUGACUCAUGUUACCUUUAGUCCAAAUGGAGAAGAGGUUCUCAUGAGUUAUAGUGGAGAGCAUGUGUACUUAAUGGAUGUAAAUAAUGUUGCUGGUAGCCCCAUGCAAUAUACAUCAGCAGAUGCUUCAAAGAUCAUGACAUUUAAUCCAAUACUUAAUGGAGUAGAAUUGCAUUCACCAGCUUCUCGUGUCCCCAAUAAUGGUUCUCCUUUAAAGAGGACAAUCUCUGCCAAGCUUGACAAGUGCAGAAAAUUGGUUCAAAUUGCGGAAAAAUCCUUAAUGGAAAAUGCAAAUUAUUUUUCGGGAAUUGAGGCAUGCAAUGAAGUAUUGGAUGGUCAUGGUUCUGAGAUUGGGCCUACAUUAAUGCACGAGUGUCUAUGUAUCCGUGCAGCUUUGUUGCUUAAGAGGAAGUGGAAAAAUGACGCUUAUAUUGCUAUAAGGGAUUGCCACAGAGCUAGGAGGAUCAAUUCUUCUUCAUAUAGGGCACUCCACAUUCAAUCUGAAGCUUUAGCACAGCUGGGAAAAUAUAAAGAAGCUCUAGACUUUGCUACUGCUGCUCAAUCAGUAGCACCAUCAAAUGCUGAAGUUGCAGAAACUGUUGAGUACAUUAAAAAACAUAUUGCAGUUGAAUAUGAGAAAAGUAGCAAGCUGACUGAUGCAGCACCAAAGACUGAAUCUCAAGCAGGAAAAGUAGUAUCAUUGAGUGACAUACUCUACUGGUCAGAGGCAAAUAGUGAUGCAUCACAAGAUGGUCCAAGAUCUGGAAGAGAAGAUUCUGAUUACGAUGAGGAAGUAGAGGUGGACUUUGAGACACCGAUGUCUAGUGAUGAAGGGCAUGAUGUUGAACCUAAUGUUCUUCAUGGCAGUUUAAAUUUGAGAAUUCAUAGAAGAGGUGAUUCAGCCAUGGAGACUGAUAAUGCAAGUGGCUCUAUUGGAUUGCCUACAUCAUCCCAAAAUGAUCAAACUAACCAGCCUGAAGUGGUGAUAGAUAUGAAACAGAGAUAUGUUGGCCACUGCAAUAUGGGGACCGACAUAAAGCAAGCUAGUUUUCUCGGCCAACUAGGUGAAUAUAUUGCGAGUGGGAGUGAUGAUGGCAGGUGGUUUAUAUGGGAAAAGAAAACUGGUAGACUAAUAAAGACGCUUGUCGGUGAUGAAGCUGUGGUAAACUGUGUGCAAUGCCAUCCAACUGACUGUGUUGUGGCUACAAGCGGUAUUGAUAGCACCAUAAAGAUUUGGACACCAACAGCUUCAGUCCCAUCCAUAGUGGCUGCAGGAGCUGCAGGACCAGAGCCUGCAAAUGUGGUGGAUGUCAUGGAGAAUAAUCAAACCAGACUAUGCCGUAAUCGUGAAAUUAUUCUGCCUUUCGAACUUGUGGAGCAUUUCCAAAUGCAUGAGCUUUCUGGAGGAACUGUGCGUCCCUUUGAAUGCGCACAGAGUUAAUUGUGUCAUGCUCAAUUGAACAGGGUGCCAGGUGAGCUGAGGUCGUUGCGCCUAUUUGAUUUGAGGCAUGGCUCAGACGGUUGGACGUAAAGAUGGCGUUGCUGUGGAAGUUGGGAAAAUAAAUAUGCCCCUCUUUUGCAUGAUGACAAAUGCUGAUUCCGAAGUCAAGAAGUGGUGGGUAACAUAAGUUUUGGGAAAAUAAAGUGAGGCAACUUGGUCUGGUAAAUCAAUGGUUGGUUAAUAAAUAGAUUUUUCUGCUUUUGUUUAGUCCUGUCUCGUACCCCUCUAAAUUUCCAUCCGUUGGCUAAAUAAAUUGAUCCGUUGAGGGAAGUAUAGUUCGGACAAUCAUUAGAAGUAAAUCUUGUGACUGUCUGUUAAUAUGUGGUUUGGUAGGUUAGCCUUUUGUAAAGUUGUAAAUGUUACAUUUGUCAUAUGAUGAGAAACAAUCAAUGUAUAGUUACGCCAGUCCUAUACCUCAUUAGCGCUCUGUAAUAUGCCAAUAUUUGCAUGAUAUUGAUGAUGCAUGUCUAUUUAGUUUUUGCUUCA